UGCUCUUUCAUUCUGGUUUUGAAGCCCAACAAACAGAAUCCAAACCAGUGUCUACCGGAAGCCCCCCCACACCGAUCAGUAUAUCCCCUUCAACUCUAACCACCCUCGUAGAACCAAG